CCUACGGGAGGCAGCAGUGAGGAAUAUUGGUCAAUGGCCGGAAGGCUGAACCAGCCAUGCCGCGUGAAGGUCAGUGCCCUAUGGGCGUUAAACUUCUUUUGUGCGGGAGCAAUAAUGGUCACGUGUGGCCAGACGAGAGUACCGUACGAAUAAGCAUCGGCUAACUCCGUGCCAGCAGCCGCGGUAAUACGGGGGAUGCAAGCGUUAUCCGGAUUUACUGGGUGUAAAGGGAGCGUAGGCGGUUUAGCAAGUCAGAAGUGAAAGCCCGGGGCUCAACUCCGGGACUGCCUUUGAAACUGGCAAACUGGAGUGUGUGAGAGGAUAGUGGAAUUCCAGGUGUAGGAGUGAAAUCCGUAGAUAUCUGGAGGAACAUCAGUGGCGAAGGCGACUAUCUGGCACAUAACUGACGCUGAGGAGCGAAAGCGUGGGUAGCAAACAGGAUUAGAUACCCUAGUAGUC
rnacentral:rRNA from 1 species